ensembl:lncRNA
GAUGUUAGAACCUGCAACGAAAUAUUUGGAUAGUUCACAUCUGAGUCCGUGCCUCAAACGCUGCAGCAACAAGGCUGCUGCUGCUGCUCCGUAUCACUGGGUCCAGUGAAGAUUCUUUCCCAGUAGGUAAACAACAAACAGAUCAGUCUCUCCUGCAGCAACCCUUGCUUAUUCCAGUGAUGGAAAAGACCACAUCAGCAGCUAUAGCCUACACUUCCUUAUUUAAGAUAUUAUAAACUUCUGGAAGCCCUAUGCUAAAGCAGAAUUUUCCUCUCAAACAUUAGUGAUUACCUGUCAACAAUCUGGCCUCUCACUUCCCAUAAACCAGGCCUGCUGUUCAUAUAAAUCAGAGCAGUUCAACUGUUAAUAGAGCCGUGCCAGUAAUUGCCAUCGGAGAUCUCUUACUUUCUCCAAAACUACCUAUUUAGAGCUACUGUAAAGCAAAACCUAUCGUGUCAUUAGGAAAUAUAUAUGCACAUCAUGUGGCUUCAUAUUAAGUUUAAGCAAAUAUUUUGGCAUUUGUGUACUUUGCAGGAGAAAUGGUUACAUUGAAUGCUUUGCCAAUUGCCCUUAAUACCUGAGAAAUAAAUAAAGCACUACAAUUGCUAUUAAGAAUUGGUGCUUACUUUAAUAUUACGAUGCCAACCAAGUUUGUUUUGCUACCAGAAACACAAAGUAGCCUUGUCAUUCCCAUUUGGACAUUUGUCAUCAUUUUAUUUUUAAUCCUUCAUAUAUCCUGUAUUACUUUUGCUCAUUUAAUCACCAAACGUUGGAUACUUGCCAUUACUCCUGUCCCCUCAACUGAUGACAUCAGCUAUAUAAUAGAACAGACAACCACAAUGUCAGAAGUACUUACGGACAUGAAGAGGUGGUAAAGAUGAGUACCAAACAUCUUGUCACCUAAUUUUAUUGGGAAAAUCCUGCUGUCAUUUGGUCAGAUUGCAACUGCAAUAUUCUAUUAUCAAGACAAUUCAAAUGAGCAUCCUGAUAGUCUGCUGAUAUCAACAGAAAGCAAAUAAGGCAAAUGCAGGAAUGGAUGAUCUACAAUCCAAUGAUAUUUACCACCCAAACACAACCACUAAGCCACUUAUCUGAGAAUGCCAAGUUAUGGAUUAAAAUAUACAGAUAUUUCAAGAGAUAAUAAAGAUAAUAUAUGUUGGAGAACUAUUUUCUGCUCCUCUAUUUUAGAUAAAGAAUAAAAAUAAAGUACUGGGCAGCAAAUCCCUGACAUACUUUUGGAAUAGAUGUUUCAUUGCUUGUACUGGAUUUAGAAAUGUUGUCUGCACAAAUUUAUCAUGAAAAAAUAUUCGUAUUCAUUUAUAAUAGGAUCAGGACUGUCUCACAAACUCUUCCAAUGUGGAUGUCAUAGUUAGAAGUCUGUCUUCUAGGAUUUAAUACAUCUCUAGCUGGGGCACUGACUGCCAUUUGUAGGCCAUACUCGUUUUAGUUAACCAAGUUCUUCCUGCUACUGAAGCUGUGGCCAGUAGAUGCCCUACCUACACAUGAAUGAAAUAACAGUAUCAGCAGAAUGGUACAAAAGUUGUUACUCUAACAAAACCAAGGAGGGGAUUGAAGUGCCAUUAGUGCGUUAUGCAAAAAAAAUAAGGCCUUAUGAUGGGAAUGAAAACCGAAUUUCUUGAUCAGAACAUUUAUAGAAUCUAAUACACAUUUACUUUGAAUAUUAUAGAGAAAAGACUCUGAAACCAUGUACAUCUUGUGUUCCAGCAUCUAAGUCCCUGGUAUGUCAUGUUCAACAGCGAUUAAUGGCUCUACAAAGGGAAUGUGUUAUAGCUCUGCAAGCUAUGAACUUGAAUAAGAUCAUCAAUAAGCUUGAGCCCUUUCUUUACAAGCAUUGGUGUUUCCAAACUGCAGCUAUUCUAGUACUCAUAUACUUGGAGUUACAGCUCUGACAUACAUGCUAUCAGAAGGCAAUGAUUACAGUCAAUCUAAGUUUUUUAAAGUACCACUUUUCUUGAAGAGAAAGCCUUGCUUUGGAAAAUUUCUAACUUCAGGAAAAAAAAGUAAAUGGUCUGGUUCAAUAUUUCGUACUGAUCUUGUAUAGAAGUUAUAGAAACUUUGAAAAAUAUUUUUCAAGUGAAAGUAUUAGCAUUAAAAAAAUCCUCUGAAAUUGUUGAAGCCUUGCUUCUUAAGUCAAAACGCAUUAGUGAUUGGGGAUUUUGAAAAAGCUAACAUAUUUGCAUCUGACUGGAACAGCUUUUUUACUAAACAUACAAUGAUGUUUUUCACCUUUAAAAAUAAUAGGUUGGUAAAUCACUGAUGCAGUAAAACUAGAUUUUUAACAAAAUUAUUCUGUUAUUGCGACAGAAAAAUUGUUUUCUAUGAGCAAUUUCCUUUGAAAACUCUUCAUUAAAUCUAAGUAAACUAUAAAAUUAUAAAUAAUACAGAGGUCUUGCCAUCAUGCAAGCAAUUGCAUUUGUACAUAAAAUUUUUGUGAGCCACUGGGUCUUAAUUCAAAAUUUGAUGAAAUAUUUAGCAUCCUUUAGAAAUAGUAAGAUCUCUUAAAAUAUUAAGCUUUUUAAUAUAUUUAUUUUGAAAGUGUACAGGAGUUACAUGAAAAGAGAGGAGUUCAGAAGUUCUGUUACUAGUUUUCUAAAUGUUUUUUAUGCCAAAGUCUAUUAACAUUUUCAAUAAGUGAAUAUUAAUCUUAAACAUAUCCAAGACGCCUGAGCUACCUUACUGUUUGAAAAAAAAUUCUAUACACACAAUUGUAAUCUACCACCCAGUUGCGUUUAUUGCCACGUAUGUGGCAGUUGUGGCAGUGGAUUUUUUUUUUUUUUUUUUUUUUUUGAGUGCUAUCAGUCUUUAUCAGACUCAAUGGUUUUAAAGCAAAAGACUGCAGAAAUUUUUGGCAAUACUCUGUAGAAUUUGUACGACUACUAUUAAUUAGAAGAGAGCAUGUCUGAACAUGUUCAGAAGUGUAAGCUUCUGCUCAAAGAUUCAACCCAGCAACAGAAUGAUAUAUUAGAAACAAAAACUAACUUUUCCCUGACUGAAUCUCAAAUAAUUACUAUGCAUCUGAAGUAAAGUUACUUAAAAAUGUUUCUUUUGCUUUGUUUGGAGAGGUGCAGGGGAGCAGAAAAAGUGUCAGACUGGAGGGGUGUUUGCAUCAGGUCUCUACAGAGUGUUUUCAAGAGAAAACAUUCAACAACACAGGAAAAAAAACUCAAUUGCAGAAAUCCAAUCAAACCAUCAGAAAAAAAAAGAAGCUUGGGCAGUCAUAAACAGGAUGGACAAAGAACCUGUGAAAUCCUACGUUCCAUGUUUUUUACUCAGAUAUGUUGCAAAAUCAAAUACAUCAUAAAAUACUUCUUGUAGUGUUAUAAGACAAACUUCACUCUCAGAGACUCUUUACAACUAUUCCAAGGCUCACAAAGAAACAUUUGUAUCAUAUUGUACUUUCAUAAUUUCAUAGAAAUUAUCCUCAGGAGUUAGCUUUCCCUAAGUUAAAGAAGCAUUAUUCCAGUCUACAAAAUAUAACUGCAUUCAUUCUCAGUACUAAGAACUUCAAGCUACAAAUCAACCUCAGUUUUCAAGAUACUACGAUUGGCACCAAAAAAUACUUUUAGAUAAAACUCACUAAAAAGCACUCAUCUAUCCAAACAUACCAAAGAAAAAUACCACCACAAACUUCUUGAGGACACUUGGCGUUCAAAAACUUUUUUUCUUUCAUGUUUCCUUUAUUACAAAGGCUUUUUCUUGGAAUUUUUUUUCCCCCUCGAUUGAUAUUUGUCACCAGCUCAUAAAUUAGCAGUGAGUUUUAAUAUAAGUAUCUUGCUACUUCUUGUAUAUCCUGAAAAGACUCUGUUUCAUUACAAGUUACCAACAAUCAUAGAAUAUUCUCAACCUCAAAUGGUAUUUUUGCAUACAAUUUCAUAGAUGUUCUGAACAGAUCAAAUCUGUUUUAGUUUAUAAUGUACUUAUUAAAAGGAUUUCUGUAGCAGUUAAAUAUUCAGUAUUGACUUGUUUUAUCUUAACAUUAAAGGAAAGAAAUUAAAAUCUAGUUCCUGUUUGGCCUGAUUUUUUCCUGCUUUAUGAUAUGUAAUGCAUAUGGACUCCUAAAUAAUUCCAACUGCAGUAAUUUAAUAUUAUAAUUAAGAAUGGAAAGAUAAGAAUUUAUCUCAUACUCUAAUCAAACAUUUUAAUUUGCUUCAGCUGAUGGGCUGAAUUUCAGAAAGUAACUUUUUUGUACUGUAAAGUUAGCAAAGAUUAGACAAACUUUAAGACUCUACUAAAAUAAAAAAUGGAU